GCCGCGUGUGUGAAGAAGGCCUUCGGGUUGUAAAGCACUUUUGUCCGGAAAGAAAACCUCUGCCCUAAUACCUCGGUGGGAUGACGGUACCGGAAGAAUAAGCACCGGCUAACUACGUGCCAGCAGCCGCGGUAAUACGUAGGGUGCAAGCGUUAAUCGGAAUUACUGGGCGUAAAGCGUGCGCAGGCGGUUUUGUAAGACCGAUGUGAAAUCCCCGGGCUUAACCUGGGAACUGCAUUCGUGACUGCAAGGCUAGAGUAUGGCAGAAGGGGGUAGAAUUCCACGUGUAGCAAUGAAAUGCGUAAAGAUGUGGAGGAAUACCGAUGGCGAAAGCAGCCCCCUGGGCCAAUACUGACGCUCAUGCACGAAAGCGUGGGGAGCAAACAGGAUUAAAUACCCUGGUAGUCCACGCCCUAAACGAUGUCAACUAGUUGUUGGGGAUUCAUUUCCUUAGUAACGAAGCUAACGCGUGAAGUUGACCGCCUGGGGAGUACGGUCGCAAGAUUAAAACUCAAAGGAAUUGACGGGGACCCGCACAAGCGGUGGAUGAUGUGGAUUAAUUCGAUGCAACGCGAAAAACCUUACCUACCCUUGACAUGGACGGAAUCCUGCUGA
rnacentral:rRNA from 1 species